CUGCGGCCGGAGGAUUAGCAGCUAAACUUUUAUUGCUUCCUUUUGUGCGUGUGUAUAUGUGCGUGUGCGCUCCCGUGUGGGUGUGCGCGCGUGUAUGGGUGGGUGUGUAAAUGGAGAGCUCGCCUUUGAAUUGGGAAAAGCUUUUCCAUUUCCCUUUGGCAGGUGCCGUUCAAGGAGGAGAGGAACUCACGAGCGGUUUGUCUGAUCCAUGAACUGAUUAGGGGAGGGGAAAUUAUCCCUCUCCUCUUACUCUUCCUUUCCCAGUUUUGAAAUCAUUCUUUCCCCACCACCACCACCCCCUGCCCGUCCUUCCUCCCCGCUUCCCUCUCCCCUGAAUGAAUGGAAGAGUCUCCAGGGUUUUCUUCUGCUUCUCGCCCUGGACUGGAGCAGUGAGUGGGACAUCUCUCUAUCCUCAUCCAUCUCAAUCUCGCUCCAUCCAUUCCCGAGAGGAUCUCAGACGGUUGCAAUGUGUUUUCAUCCUCUUGCCGCUGCUACCACUUGAUACUAUGCUACGCGCAGGGAAAGGGUUUCGCAAAAAUGGAUUUGUUCGAUUUUAAGGGAUUUCUUCUCUAAUAAGGAUCACAUUGCACACAAAUAUGACUAAAUCCCCUAUUUGGUAAAUCUUUCUUCCCCUCACCCCUCCUCUCUGGGUUCCCUCCUGCCCGCCCCCACCCCUUCAGAGGAGCAAGCACAGGGAGCUGAUGACGGACCCAUUAAUCCCUUCUUCAAUGCAUCAAAAGAAGCCGAAGGGCUGGAAGUCGCUGGGCUCGGAGUCCUGCAGGAAAUGCUUCGAUCUUCUUUUGGUUCUGUAUGAAACUGGUGACUAGGGGGCUCGGCUCGCCCCGCCGGCACCUGGAUGCUCGGGCCGCCGCGAUGCAGCGCUGACGGUCGUGCCGGUGAGAGCCCGGCUGCGAUGGGAUUGAGCAGGCUGUGAUUAGUUGAAGGCAAAGCGAGCCAGAGGAAGGGCUGCUCCGCUCUGCUGUGUGUGGGCUUCGGGUUUUUGGGUUUUUUUCCUUUCUUUUUUUUUUUUUUUUCUUUCUUCUUUCCUACUUCCAUCCUCUCCCCGCCACUGGAAGUCCUCCCGUAUCUAAAUGGAAUUAGUGGAGACCGAAGCCCCUUGUGUAAGGAACAGACAUGACCCAUGGGCGCAGCUUCUUUCACAUUGUAGCAAGUCUAAUCAUCCUACAUUUUUCUGGGGCAACCAAAAAAGGAACAGAAAAGCAAACUGCUUCCGAAGGACAGAAACCAGUGCAAUGUGGAACUUGGACAAAAUAUGCAGAAGGAGGCUUCUUCACUUCUCCCAAUUAUCCCAACAAGUACCCUCCUGACAGAGAGUGUGUCUACAUUAUAGAAGCUGCCCCUAGACAAUGCAUUGAACUACACUUUGAUGAAAAAUAUUCCAUAGAACCUUCUUGGGAGUGUAAAUUUGACCAUAUUGAAGUACGAGAUGGACCUUUUGGCUUUUCCCCAAUCAUUGGACGUUUCUGUGGACAGCAAAAUCCACCUAUGAUAAAAUCCAGUGGCAGAUUCCUAUGGAUUAAAUUUUUUGCUGAUGGUGAGCUGGAAUCUAUUGGGUUUUCUGCUCGGUAUAAUUUUACACCUGAUCCAGAUUUUAAGGACCUUGGCGCUUUGAAACCAUUGCCAGUUUGUGAGUUUGAAAUGGGAGGACCUGAAGGAAUUGUGGAAUCUAUACAAAUUGUCAAAGAAGGAAAAGCUUCUGAAACUGAAGCAGUAGACUGUAAAUGGUACAUCCGAGCACCACCCCGAUCCAAGAUUUAUUUGCGAUUCUUGGACUAUGAAAUGCAGAAUUCCAAUGAAUGCAAAAGGAAUUUUGUAGCUGUCUAUGAUGGAAGCAGCUCUGUGGAGGACUUGAAAGCAAAGUUUUGCAGCACUGUUGCUAAUGAUGUAAUGCUGCGGACAGGUCUUGGUGUAAUCCGCAUGUGGGCAGAUGAAGGCAGUCGAAACAGCCGAUUCCAGAUGCUCUUCACAUCUUUCCAAGAACCCCCUUGUGAAGCCAACACAUUCUUUUGCCACAGUAAUAUGUGUAUUAAUAAUACAUUGGUCUGCAAUGGACUGCAGAAUUGUGUGUAUCCUUGGGAUGAAAACCACUGCAAAGAAAAGAGAAAAGCGAACCUAUUGGACCAACUUACCAAUACCAGCGGGACUAUAAUUGGGGUGACUUCUUGCAUUGUGAUCAUCCUCAUUGUUGUCUCUGUUAUAGUACAGAUCAAGCAGCCUCGUAAAAAAUUUGUCCAAAGGAAAACAGACUUUGAUCAAACAGUGUUCCAGGAGGUGUUUGAGCCUCCUCAUUAUGAGUUAUGCACCCUCAGAGGGACAGGGCCUACAGCUGACCUUGCUGAUGUUGCAGAUGACUUUGAAAAUUAUCAUAAACUGCGGAGAUCAUCUUCAAAAUGCAUUCAUGACCAUCACUGUGGAUCACAAGUGUCUAGCAUUAAGGGCAGCCGUAGUAACCUCAGCACAAGAGAUGCUUCUGUCUUGACAGAAAUACAACCCCAGCCUGUAAAACCACUCAUCCAGCCCAUGAACAGGAGAAAUAUCCUUGUCAUGAAACAUAGCUACUCACAAGAUGCUGCAGAUGCGUGUGAGAUAGACGAAAUUGAAGAGGUACCAACCACAAGUCACAGGCUGUCCAGACAUGAUAAAGCUGUUCAGCGCCAUAACAUUCCAGGUUCUGCCUCAUUGGGUCUCUAAGCAAACAUGAGUCUGAGUACAACACAACUAGGGUCUAAGAGACAAACUCGAGACUGCUUGAGAAUAGUGCACUCCUGGGUGAUUUUGAACAUGCUACAAUGAAAUAUGAAAAUAUCGUCCUUGGAAACACCAGCUAGAGGUUUUAUGGACUCUCUGACCAGCUAUUCUCAUAUCAUGACAAAAUUCAGCAGUGUUGAGUAAAAUUACUAGAAGGCAAUAAGACUUUGGUUAUUAUGCUUAUCGGUCAUUUCUCUUUUCUUUUUCUCUCUUCUUUUGUUUGCAAGUUAAAUUCCCAGUUUCAGGAACAAUUUAUUAAAAUCAGGUAUUUAGCCAUUCAUAAUCACUUCAAUAGAAAUGUUUGUUGGAUAAGCAUCUAGCAAUAUGACUGAAUUUGACAUUGAGAAAAUAAUCUGCAUGUAUGUUACUGAAUAUUUGAGUUGGCAAAUAUCCCUUGAUUAGAUACAUUGUAAAAAGCAUGCAUCCACAAUUAUUGCUGUUACUGUUCCAUUUCUGUGUCAUAUGCUUGCUACUUGUAACUUUUUAUAUAAAGGUACAUAAAAAAAUGUAUAAUAAUUUCUUACCUUGAGUUUAAUGGCAAUGUUUUCUUUUACCAAAUUUACAAAUCUCAUGUAAUUUGAGAGAUUAAGCUCAAAAUGUAGCUUCCAGGAACUCAAAACCCAGAUAUAUCAAAGAAUCAGCUCUCAUCCCCCACUUAUUGAAAAGCAAAAUACAUUAAUUUCUUAAGAUUUAAAUGAAUUCCUAAUACAUAUAGUUGAUCAUCUAAUUGCAAUUAAAAGGUUUGUGAUAACCUUUGUGUUCAGCUCUGUGCUCUUAAUUUAUUUCCAUGGCAAUUACUAGGCAGUUUCCUUCAGUGUAGCAGAACAGUAGAUUUUCAUUAGUUUUACAAAUGAUAUGGCUGGGCUCCAAUUUUAGAGGUAGAGAUUUAAACCACUUCCUUUAGUACGGUUAAAUUAUAUUCGUAAUUCAAGAUACAAACAUUAGUAACCAACACCAAAAUCAAACCUGAGAGAUUUAAGUUAUUAAGGAACCGAGUUAUUAAGGAAUUAAGGCUGAAAAGCUACAGAAAAGCUGAAAAUCUUCUCAUUUAAGAACUCAAUAAUCAUGUAUGAAAUCAUAGUUUCAUCACCUAUAUAAAGUGUAAUAUUUCAAAUUCUCUUUCAAAGAAAAUCCCAGUUCCUUCUUAAACUUAUUGUGUCAUCAUGGUUGUUAGGUUUUUCAGUAUACAAUUUUUUUCUAGUUUUAUUGAAAAAAUGGGAAGAAUUCCAAGGAUACUCCCAAAGUAUAAAUAGACGAGAUAAAACAAAACCUGAAAGACUGACAUAAAAAAUAAGGAGUUCUAUAUCAGCUAUUUAAAUAUACAGUACAUAAGUUAUGUAACUACAAAUACAGGAAAUCUGUUUUCUACAAAAUAAUUUCUACAAAUGUGAUUUAGGAAUGACAUGAGAACAAGAAGGUUGUCAGGUAUUUUGCCUCCUUUUCUGUAUACUAUGUUUGCAAAGUAUUUUAUAUAAUUUUAUUGUAGCUUGAUUAAUUUGUUUGCUAUUACAUAUUGGCUGCAAAAAACAGUCUUCCAUCCUCCUCGGUCAUCAAGUGUCUUUGAGUCAUCUCUCAGCUAUAUGGAUUUUUAGCAUGCAGUAAUAGUUCAUUUCUAGAUCAGUAUCACUUUCCAAGUUCAUAUACUUUGUCACUAUUUUUUUCCGUAAUCAUUCAAAGUCUUGUCUCAUGAUCCUGUCUCAUGGUCCCUUCUUAAGUAUAUUAUGUUAAGAUAUUUGCCAUUUCCAUGCUUAAAAUGGAUGCAUCCGUGCUUCCAUUAUAAAAUCAAGGAACAAUGAAAGACUUGCUGAAAUAAAUGCUUAUACAUGCACACACAUUUAUGUAUGUAAAUAUUUCCUAUUGGAGAUAGUGCAUAAAUAAAUAUAUAAGGAGAAAUCUUAACAUGUGAAUUUAGCUUUGAAUGAAUUAUAUUGGUCACCUAGAAAAAUGCUGAAGCCUUGGCUUUCAAAGUUGCUAAUAUAUAAGUGCCUAAAUCCCAUUGAAACAUAAUGUUGGUCUAGUCUCUCCUAGACAGGCACACAAUGAAAUCCACUUUAUGGCAUUUUCAGAAAAGUGUUGACUGAGAAAACUUAACCGGAGAAGACAAGGGUGUUAGUAUUUAUGUUGCAUGCACCUCCUUGCUUUCGUAAAAGUUCUAUAUCAUCAGGGAAAAAGAGUGAAAAAUGAAACCCUGUAUAAAUAAAGCAGGUCAUACAAUGUGAGAAUAGUAAAGCUUACUUGAUGUUGGAAACUCCUUUAGAAAUGUCAUCUAAUAGCUAGAUAUACCCUUCAAGACACAAUUAUAACUGAAAGAUUAUGUGUAUACUGGAGGAAUAGGGUCAAAUUCUAAAAUUGUCUAUUAAAAAAUAAAUAAUGAUAAAUUCAAACCAUAUUAAAGUAUUAUAAUUGAACUGUUUAAUUUUAAGUAAUUAUAUUCUGUAUUUACUCAGUGGAAAUAAUAGCCUAGUCCACUGUACUGCAAACAGUAAAGAAGACUUUUGCUUGGUAUCACACAAUUGUAGGAUAUCUUAACGUCAUCUAUAAAACUCAAAAUAUUAAAAUAAAAGGGGUUGAUGCUGAAAGUAAACAAUUUGCCUUCCCUAUGAGUAUUUUUCAAUUAUUAUGAAGCCACUUUUUAAAAAACAGGAUGCAGUUCAAGCAAGCUAGUUCAAACAGACAAGCUAGUUCAAGUAACUUCAAGUUCACACAAGUUCAUUUAUCUGUAAAGAGAAUAUUCAAAACUGGAAUUUGACCACACACUAUAAGUUAAAUUGAUCUUAUUCUAUUACAUCUUUUCCAUUUUAUGGGAAGAAGAUUCGGCUUGUUAAAUUAACACAGCUACAUGUAGUCUGAAUAGCAUUUUAGUAAAUUACCGUGUAUUAGCUGAGCUGGUAGUGUUAGUUUCAUGCAUUUUACCUCAUGUUUGUCUUAAGCUAAAACUAAGAAAGGUAGUUACUGACCGUUUUGGUUUGACUGGUGCAAUGUGUGUGAUGUAUAGCCAUGUUGACAAUGUGUUUAUUUCUGAUAUAUUUUUAAAGAUGAGGUUUUGCUAUCACAGUGCAUUGCCAUAUUGUUCGCAGUUUUGAUUUCUUUUAGUCUUUCUCCCAUGGGUGUACUGUUAUGUAUAUUCUUUUUUUUUUUUCUGGAUGAUAGUGUGAACAACCACUCCCAACCAUUUUUCUCUGUUCCACGAAAUAUGUUCUUUCAGUUUGUGAUGUCUUCUCUGCAGCACCAUUUACAAAUCUCAGGAAGUCCAUUUUGUAAACUAUCCCAGUGUAAAACCUUUUCCAUCUUGAAGGAAAGAAAACACUCUAAGAAAUGUUAGUACCAUAUCCUUCUCUUUCUCUUUAUUUUUAUGCUGGCAAUAGUCUCUUGAAUCUAAAAAUGAUGUAACCAAUGGGAGAUGUCUUAAAAAAAAAAAAAAAGAAAAGAAAUAGAGAAAGGUAUGAAGAAGAAUUAGAAGAAUUAAUUACAAUAACAAGAAUAAAGUAUUAGAAUAAUUAGAAAAAGAGUAGGAAGAAUUGUUGCUUAUACACAUUCACAGAUGUACAGACACAUUCAGGACAGAUAAAUGCCUUAGUCACCGAAUAAAAAUGUACUGUCCAUGUUAAAAUCCAAAAGAUAGCUGUAAUACCUGGGCUUUAUAGAACAUUAUGCUACGAACAAGAAAUUGGCCUUUUUGUGUUUUCUUCUCUUCUACUUUAUGUGCAAUCUCCCUGCUAUCACAAAGACAUUCCAGCUGAGGGAGCACAGCUGAAGAGCUAAGUAACACGAAGGACAAAACCUGCACCAUUCAAAACUCUUCCUAACACAGAAACCUGUAUCUGAUCAGGAAGUCUCUUAUCUCCUCAUUCUUGACUCAACGUUUGAUGUGAAAUCCUGGACUUCUGUCUCCAUUGCUCAUCAUUACCUCAGCAUCAUCUCUCUUUACUCUUUGAUGAUGAUAUUACAUCUUUAUCACUGCUGCCUUUCAUUUCUGUCCACAGUGGGUUUAGUUUUGUUCCCUUCUCUCCUCCAAAUUCAUUGAAAAUGCUGAAAUCCUAUCAAUUCACUGACCUUGUGUUACCCUUGCAUCCACGUGGCUCUUUCCCGUCUAUCACUUCAGAGCUGUAUUAACCUUAUGUUGCCUAUAAACAUUAAGAUUAAAACAUAUGGUCACAACAUAUCUUAAUUAGCUUUAAUUUAUGCAACACAACAAAAGCUAUAAAGAUGUAUUGAGAUGGACUGGAGUACAGGCUUACUAGGGAUUUUUGAUUUGUAUUUUAAUGACUGUGCACCAGUGUUCUCUGGACCACCUACCUCUGUAUUGUCAUGCCUGCUCCUGCUAUAGUCAUACCCCAAUGUGCCAUAAACAGAAACUCGCCUCCACUCCUUUUCUUCUCCUAGUGAUACCUGAAUCAUUGUCAAACUAAGUCUUGCUUCAGGCACUCCUGUGUUUUAUCCUAUGCUGUAUUUGUAUUAGCAUGUUCCUCCAUAAAACAUAAAUUGCUGUUGUAGCCUCCUUUACAUGACUAUUUAAACACGUUGAGCUCCAUAGUCUAGCAAACACCUGCCAAUGAUGUGGCAGAGCUAUCAUCAGAAAGGUAAGAGAAUCAGCUACCAGGAGAAGCAGGAGUUGCUGCUUCCCUCCAUUUUCUUUCCCAGGAAACGGAAUUGUGCUGAUAUGGAAUCUCCCAACAAAGUCACUAUAGGAAAAAAAGGGAAGCUGCCAUGACCUUCAAGCAACAAAUUGUAACUAUGAGAGACGAUCUAAAGAGCCCAUGAUAAAAAAUGGAAGGAACAAGAUUGCUCAGAUUUCAUUCCAAAGUAACAGGCCUGACCAACACCGUGCAGCAGCAUUGCAUCUCUUCAUUCUCAGAUAAGGGAAGGCUCGACUUCAAUCCUUCUUCAUUCCAUGAAGCAUGAUACCACAACUAUUCUUGUCUAGUUCCUGAAUCAAGAUCGUAUCAUCCAAUUUGUGAAGGUGGGCUCAGCCCCUCUGCUGCUGAUGACAAGAAAUGGGCUGAUUAUUCAGAGACAAUGCUCUUCAUGACAGACGUGUUAUCAUUUUUGAAAAUCCCACCUUCAGUUAUGAUGGUAAUAAGAGAGUUUAGUAUAUGAUGGAGAACUUGGUCUGGUUAAGACCUAACAAUGUAUCUGUGUUGUCUGUAUCAGUCUCAGAAAUAACAGAGUAGUUAAUUUAAUUUAAAAUAAGUUCUAUCCCUCCAUUUGAAUUUUCUUCAGCAUUCUUGAGCCAUGUUCAUUGAUAAACACCUAUCUGAAGUAUUUCUUGUUGAAUGGCAUGGCUCAAAUGAUAUUUAGAUUGAACAUGAAGCUCUGAAGAACUAAAUUAUUGUACCCUUCACCACUCCCACCACGCCAAUAUUAAUUAAUAUUUUAAAGCUCCUCAAGCCUCUCAGGGACUGUUAUCCAGCUUGGACCUGACUUGUCAGUGAUGAAUACCAGCUGAGUCAGAAAAUAAAAACUUUGCACCUGAAUAUUGCUAAAAUAUUUUCUCAGUGUGAAGAACAACCUGAGUCUAUAGCCACAUGGAUCAUUCUACUGCUAGAGGAGAUAAAACUCUAAAAUUCCAGCUAGCCAGGUUUAUGGCAUACUUGUAUUUUCACUAUGUGAGAACAUGCCUUAUUAUCCUCAAUAGCAAAGUACAUAGAAGAGAAAGUGAAAAGCAAAGGAGGCUGUAAAAGGAGAAAAAAAAAAACCAUCCAAAACCCCAACAGUGGUAAGUAAAUAGGCUAUUCUACACUUAUGCAUAAAAUUAAUGUACAGUAUACCACAGAGUGGAGCCACUUUUGUUCCUUUUGAUCAAUUUGCAGAUCCUCUAAUGAGUUUAUGGGGUUUGUUUUUAUAUAUGGAUCAGGCAUUGUCUGCUAACAUUUUAGUUAUGCUUGCAUCAUCUAGUUCUAAGAACUAUGAAUUCUCUACAUUCCUAAAUACUUUUGAAAGCUGUUAGCCAGACAGUUCCAACAGUUUCCUCUGCAUUUUAUAGAUCAUUUAGAAAUGGGAACUAUGCUAUGGAGCUACUGUUUAGUCUAGCAAAACCUUUCAUAGCUGUGGCAUCUAGCCAGUAUUGCAAUCAUAGUGCAUUGUUUGAAGGGGAAAAAUGCAAUGAUGUAAUAUAUGGCCACGUUCAAGGACCCAAUCCACAGACGUCUGGAAAAGGACCUUUUAGUGGAAAAGCAGCCCAGAGUUAUUUCUGAGGAGCUUGAAGUUGUCCUUUUUUUCUAUGCCGAUGUCUAAAAUAAUAACAAGCAUUGUGAAGGACAAAGAAAGAACAAAAGCAUAAGCCAGAUUUUUUUCUUUCAUGAUAACAGUAAUGCUUACCUCUACAUCUACUGCUUGAAUGAUAUAUUGUUUGGGGAGAAUACUGUGCUGAUACAGGCUUUUCAUCAUAACAUGUAAUGCUGAUGCUUAUGCAAGCUUCCCCCAAGUCUGUUAUUGAAGUUUCAUAAAAUUCAUAAAUCCAAUAAACACGAUAAGAGAAUAUUACAGCAUUUUCCCUUUGCUGUUUUCAACAGGAAAUACAUUCUAAAUUAAAAAUGUGCAGGAAGCUCAAAUUUGAACAAAAGUCAUGAAUCCCUCUGCUCUCCCCAGUCAUGCAUAUAGUGGAGUUUAAUGCAGACAAAUUUGCAGACUAAUUUGCAAAAAUGUGCAUAUGCUGACAUAUGCAAUCAAUUUUAUAAUAUGGCAUUCUUUCCAUCACUUAAUAUGCAUAUGUAUAUCUCACAGGUACUUGGAUACUCAUGAAGAUAGGAGCUAAUAUGUCCCCAGAGAGCAAUAAUCAAUCGUCAGAUUGCUGAAAACUGCAAAUGUGCCCAAGGUAAUAUUGCAAGUAUUUGGACUGAUAUUGCACAAAGAAGAUGGACAGAGAAAUACAAAGGAAGGUUUUCAUCCAUUUCUGGAACAUUUUAUGCUUGGCAUUACAAAAUGUAUUUCCAUUGCUAUGAUGAUGAACAUAAAUUAAAAAGAUAUAUCAGUUUGCUUUCUAAGGAUGCUGGUAGUGUUUUAUUCUGGGGGAAAAAAAGAUGUGACUGAAACUUUGUGAUACUUAGAAAACAACUGUUCAACCAAAUCAUGGCUAAAGAAACUCUUCGCUUGCUCUAUUUGUGUUUCACUAUUGAGUUUUAUGUCUUUCAAUCACUCAUAAUAAAUGUUAAAACCUGUUAGUCAAAGGUAUGUAGUGUCUCAAAGCCAAAUGUUGCUUCAAGAUCAUCGUGGACGGGUUGGACCCUUACUGGGAUAAAUAUAGCAGAAGCCAAAGGGAAUGAUGGGUACUUGGCAUUUUCCCAAGUCAGUGCCACUGCAGGAAAGUAGGGAAGGGAACAGCCUUGUCUGAGAAACUACAAGAGUGUUGGACUCAUUAAUCCUAUUUUACAUCAGAAACCAAAGCACUGUAAAUAAAGUCCUUCUUCUGAAAAAGUACUUUUGCUGCCAUCAAAAAGAUUUUGAGUGGUAGAGUCAAGCUAUUUGACAUUCUUCUGAUUUAUUAAUAGGUGAUUGUUCAUCUGUAUUGGUUUUCAUGAAAUGGAAUUGGUCUUUCCUUUGGAAUCCAGGAGGUUGCAUGUUUAGUCUCCCACCCAGAAGAAAGUUGCCUUUAACCACUGGGCCAAGUAGUUGGAUUCUUAGUGACUCCUCUCCCUUCAGUUUCCCUCUUGUUCUAAUGAAUGGCUGUCUUUAACAUAGAAGAAAUAGCUCUUAGGAGAGUAAUUUAACAGAAAACUAUGCAAGAACAGCUACAGUGUUGCACUUGCAGGUGAUUAGUUUUAGAAUAAUUAACUAUUUCCAUUAAGUUACUUGAAUUCACAGCUUUAGGUAACACUACCUGAAACCUUCCAGUUAAAGAGUGAGACUCAGUACUGCACUUGGCUUUCCAUAUUUCAGUUCUGCUAUUUCAAUAGAAAUUGGAAGUUUCUGCUUCUGAAGGCUGGAAGAAAAUCCCUACAGAAAAGGAGCUGCUCCCCAGUAUAUGCCUUAGAUAGCUGAGUCUCCCUUCCUCCCAGCUCAGUCACUCUCAUAGAUGACCAAGAUCAAAGGAGGUGGCAGCAAACAGAAGCAGCUGGAGGAAUAAGAGCAUGAGGCAGUGUGGUUAACAGAGGGAAAUGGAAGUACUUUCCUGUCCUAUUAUUACUGCUCUUUCACCAGUAAUGACCAGUGACCAGUAAACCGCCCUGCAUCCAGUGAAGGAAGUGAAGGCUUCUUUGGGCAGUUCCUUCUUAGACGUCUCAGGUUUUAGUGUAGGACAGGUUUUAGACACUUCAAUAGGACAGUAAGCUUUUAUUGGAAACAUAACUAUCCAGCAUUGUUAUUUCAAUGAAUUCAUAGUCAAAGUUAUUUUCCUUGUGAGUACUUAUUUCUUUUGGUCCAAGUCAAAUCAAACUCAAUUACCUUCCUCUGUGACAGAUUUCAAUAAAUCUUUCUUAUUUCUUUCUGCUAGAAUGGGAAGAUGAAGGGAAGAAUAUAACAUAUUUUAUCUGAAAUCCAUUUCUAAUUCAAUUAGAGCUUCAUCCUGGCCCCAUUGAACUCACUGGGCUUUUUGCCACUGACUUUAAUAAGGUUAGAAUCAGACUCAUAACACUCAGUUUCUGAUUUCUUCCAGAUAAUGAAUUAAAAUAUUAAAUAUCUUUGGGUGAAUGCUUCCUUCUUGUCUACCUGCCCCUUGAUAUUGUGUUCUUGCUUUUUCUUCAGUCCUUUAUUAAGUUUUAAUUAAGAGUUCCUUUGUGUGUAGAUAAGGGAGGUGUGUUUUAUUCUAAUACUUUUCAAGAUAUGCAUCAGUGUUGAUGUUUUCUAAAGAAAGAAAAAAAAUGAAUGUAAUUUUUUUUCCGGUAGAGGCCUAAAUGUAUUUUCUGAGGAUUAAUUGGGAAAUGAGAUGACAAAUAAGGGAUAUGAGGGCAAAUAUGCACUCUUUCUCCUAUUUUAGUUUCUUUUUAAAAAGAAUGCAUUUGAUUAAUAAGAGUAUUGGUUGUCAUCAAGGCACUUCAGAGAAAAUACACUUCCUUUCUAUUUCACAGAACGUCCAUUGUGAAAACAAGAUUAAUAUUACUGACAGUUUGUUUCAUUUCUGAAGCCUCGUUACAUUCUUAUCAAUUCAUUCUUCUGUUUAAACCUGUCAGAUCACUGCUUAUUAUUUUACAUCACUGACAAAUAAAAGUAAUGACAUUUGAUCCAAUUUGUAGCUUUCGUUGCUAGAACUGACAAUACAGGUGAAAAGAAUGUGUUACCAGUGAUAAGAACACAAAGGAAGAGAUGUGGGCAAAGCAACACCUCUAAAACCAUACUUAAAUGCUGGUAUGUUCUUUUAUGAAGAUAUUUACUUCAGUGAUGAAAAGAAGAAGAGAAGGAGAAUUAUUUGGCUUGAUUUUGAUUCAGAUUUUUUUCUAGUAACCCUGUAAUUUUUGGGUGCGGCAUAUGUACCGGUAAUACCACCUGGCUAAUUCUUGAAUGAACGUAUAUUGCCCUUCUUUUAGAUAUGCCUUUGAAAAUAAUAACUUUGGUCUGAGUGAAGACUUUGCACUGCCCCUAUUGACUUAGGCCUGAUGUACAAGGUCAAAAAAACACAUUAGUUGUCUCUCUGCUGUGCAGACACAGCAUAUUGGUAUAAGCAAGAUGAUAGUUGAAGACCUUUCUGGGCAUCUAAAAAUUAAUGAAAAAAAUCCCAAAUUUUUAGUUGGAUUUAAUAACUGGAGGGGGACAGAAGAGGAGAAAGUAAAAUCCCAUCCCAUCUACUACUUGCCAAGUCAGUUAUGUUAUUUCUAAUGGUGUGUAAUUAAGUCUAAUAACUUUUUUUAUUCUAAAAAAAAAUAAAUUACACAGUGUAGGAUGUCAGAUGCAUGACAGCAAUUCUCACUACUUGUAUGAAUUAAACUGUCAGCUGCAUAGAAGGUUUCUAAUGAUAAAACUGUCUUGUGAAUUCAUUAUGGCCUUGUUUAUCGAUUUCUGUGGGUCUCUAAGGAACACUACAGACUGAUCUGAAAUUUCUGUCUGAGAUGUAUAUAGAAACUGAAAACUUCAGAACUACUGAAAACAAUCUAUUUAAAAUACAAAUACCGUUAUCAAAGUGUUGAGUUUAGAACUAGCUUAAAGAAUGCAUAGAAUGUAUCAUUACAUUAAUGUUUUCCUCUGCUAAGGGUGUUGGAGCACCCUCUUGCACGUUUUAAGUUCUUUGCUGUAGAUAUAGCAAGGGCAAAAAAGAGUUUUUCUCAAUACAGCAUUGUGCUGUGAAAUCCUCUUCAGCAAUGUAUUGUAUCCUGACUAAUACUUUUCCCUUCUAUCUCAAAAUAAAUAGCAGGGGAUGUUAUCUAUGCACUGUACCUCCUGGACAACUUCCAGGGUUUGAAUUUUGGCCAGUGUCACUGUGAGACUCUAGGGGCAGGAAUUUAGCAUUUGUUUAGUUAAAUGAAAUGGGAGCCAUAGAUCAAGAUGUUAUUUAUAACCCAAUGACCCAGGGUAAUUCUAGUAGCUAAGCCAUAUAUGCCUUAAGCAAGCAGUCGUUAAACCUUUCUCAAAGAGCUUUGAUGUCUAUUGAUCUUGCUGAUUAUAGCCAUGUCUUUCAUCUGGAAAGCAGUAAAUGGAAAUCCUUGGACAAAUUGAAAAUCACAUUAAAGCAAAUUAACGUCUUUUAUUUAAACAAAUAGAUGUGAAGCUUUAUAUUGCCUGUAUCGGCUUCAACCAACAGCACGUAAAAUGCAUGAAUUCUCUUUUUUCACCUUGACCAGGUGGUGGAAAGCUUUCAUUUUCUCCAUCAAGUUUAAGAGACUAAAGUUUGAAUGAAACAGUACUGACUAGAUAUCAGUUUAAACAAGAAUGAAAUAUGGAGUAUUGAGAUAUUGAGUAAAACUGAAAACAGGCUUUGUACUUCAUUUGUUCAACAAGCAUGCAAUUAGGUUAGCUUUGGUGUUAGUAAAUACUAGAUUCUAAGCUGAAGUAAUCUGUGUGGCCAGAACUGAUUAGAUGAAGAAGGAAAAUAAAUCCAAGUCCCGGACAUUUAUCUCAAAUGAGGUGUUCCUUGAAGUCACUCAUGACUAUGUGAGUUUUGGAUAUGAUUAAAGUUAUGCUCUACAGCAAAGCAGAUUUUCUUUUGCCAGAAACCACAAAGAUUUGUAAAAUUAUAUGUUUAUUUUAUAGCAAACAAUAAUGUGAUUAUUAUUUUUUAAUUCAACAAGGAAAAAACAGAUCUAAACUACAUCAUUCUAUUAUAAUAUUCAGGUGUUUCUAAGAGAAAGUCUGAGAUGAUUCAUACUAUUGAUUCAAACCUGAGUUCUUUUCCAUAUUUUGAGAGAAUCCUUGGAUGAGCAAGUUUGAACUUUCACAUAUGCAACGUAAAUCUGUUCCUCUGGAAAAGUGUAAUAUUUUGAUGUAGAUGUUUAAGAUCUGCUUCCUUUAACUCUAAAAUUAAUUGGUAUGAUUGUUAUAAGCAGUUGCUUAAAGCUAAACCUGAGUGGUCAAACAGUAUUGCAGUAAUGGCUCUGGUAAAAUAUCUGAAGUAAAAGUGAAGGUAAACCCACUUCUUCUUCAGCUCAAAACUUAGCUUAAAUUAGUCUGUUUCACUAGCUUGUGAGAGGAUGGUGACAUGCUUGCAAGCAUUUAGAGAUCAGUGAACGAACUGAUCUGUUAAUAGGAAAUUCUAUAGAAAUAAUGGUAAACUUACAUUGAUUUUUUUUUUUUAAGAGCUAGAAUAUAACUUUUCAAAGAUCUUUAUUAUAAAGUACGUGGCAGCCUGGAUGAUAUUUUUUAGUGGAACAAGUAAUAAUUAAUUGCAAAAGAAAAUGCUUCAGGUUUUGAACUGUUCUUGUCCAUAUGAAUAAACAAAGUAAAAUAUAAAGUACUGCUAAUGGUAAUUUCAUAAAAUGUGAGUGAUGGAUAAUGCUAGAGAUAUUGUAGAAGGCUGAUCUGUGCAGUGUUUUAUCAGAGAUACAAAUCUUAAAAAAUAAAAGUAGAAAAUGUCUGUUCAGAUUUUUAUUUUAUAUAAAACUGAUCAUACUACAGAUAUAUUUUUAUGCGUAAUUUAAUAACACUAUAGUAAUUCUAUUUAUUUACUAUCUGCCUGACAAAGUUUGUACUGACAUAAUGUUCACAUUUCACAUCUGCAAGAUCUGAGAACUUAAGACUAUUACUAUUUAUGCUAACAUCUUUCUACUGCUUUUCACUGUUUAUGAACUGAUUGUACUUUCUUAUGCAAACUGUGAAAACUGUUUAAAAAGAAAGAAAACCACAAAUCUGUGCUAUAGUCUUUUAACUUGGCCUGUGCAGUCAGACUCCAUGCUCAUCUCUCCAAAAGCAUCAAAGUGUGUCUUUUCAUUGAUCAAAUCAGAGCCUACACUGUGUUUCUGAAAUAUGCACUGAACAGCAUAUAUUUCUGUGGCUUCACUUGUUCUUGCUGUUUUUUUUCAU